rnacentral:rRNA from 1 species
GUGGGGAAUUUUGGACAAUGGGCGCAAGCCUGAUCCAGCAAUGCCGCGUGCAGGAAGAAGGCCUUCGGGUUGUAAACUGCUUUUGUACGGAACGAAACGGUCCGGGUUAAUACCCUGGGCUAAUGACGGUACCGUAAGAAUAAGCACCGGCUAACUACGUGCCAGCAGCCGCGGUAAUACGUAGGGUGCAAGCGUUAAUCGGAAUUACUGGGCGUAAAGCGUGCGCAGGCGGUGCUGUAAGACAGGCGUGAAAUCCCCGGGCUCAACCUGGGAAUUGCGCUUGUGACUGCAGUGCUGGAGUGCGGCAGAGGGGGAUGGAAUUCCGCGUGUAGCAGUGAAAUGCGUAGAUAUGCGGAGGAACACCGAUGGCGAAGGCAAUCCCCUGGGCCUGCACUGACGCUCAUGCACGAAAGCGUGGGGAGCAAACAGGAUUAGAUACCCUGGUAGUCC